rnacentral:rRNA from 1 species
CUCCAUCUAAAGCUAAAUAUUGGCGAGAGACCGAUAGCGAACAAGUACCGUGAGGGAAAGAUGAAAAGCACUUUGGAAAAGAGAGUGAAACAGUACGUGAAAUUGUUGAAAGGGAAACGCUUGAAGUCAGUCGCGCCGUUCGGGAUUCAGCCUUGCUUCUGCUCGGUUUACUUCCCGUUGGGUGGGUCAACAUCAGUUUCGAUCGGAGGAGAAAGACGUGGGGAAGGUGGCAGCAUUCGUGCUGUGUUAUAGCCCCGUGUUGUAUACUUCGACUGGGACUGAGGACCGCAGCACGCCUCUGGCCGGGGUUCGCCCACGUACGUGCUUAGGAUGUUGGCAUAAUGGCUUUAAGCGACCCGUCUUGAAACACGGACCAAGGAGUCUAACAUGUGCGCGAGUGUUUGAGUGUUAAACUCAGACGCGAAAUGAAAGUGAAAGGUUGGGAACACUUAUGUGUGCACCGACGCCCGGAGCUGACCUUCUGUGACGCAUCUGCGGUAGAGCGUAUAUGUUGGGACCCGAAAGAUGGUGAACUAUGCCUGAAUAGGGUGAAGCCAGAGGAAACUCUGGUGGAGGCUCGUAGCGAUUCUGACGUGCAAAUCGAUCGUCAAAUUUGGGGUAUAGGGGCGAAAGACUAAUCGAACCAUCUAGUAGCUGGUUCCUGCC